GCUUUGUUUACCCAAGCAAGCCUGGGCAAUGGCGGGCGCCCCUCCCCCAGCCUUGCUGCGGCCUUGCAGUUUGAUCUCAGACUGCUGUGCUAGCAAUCAGCGAGACUCCGUGGGCGUAGGACCCUCCUAGCCAGGUGCAAGAUAUAAUCUCGCGGUGCGCCGUUUUUUAAGCCGGUCCGAAAGCGCAAUAUUCGGGUGGGAGAGACCCGAUUUUCCAGUGAGAUGAACCCAGUACCUCAGAUGGAAAUGCAGAAAUCACCCGUCUUCUGCGUCGCUCACGCUGGGAGCUGUAGACCGGAGCUGUUGCUAUUCGGCCAUCUUGGCUCCUCUCCUGCACUGCAAGAAUGGACUAAUACGCUAUGUGAAGACAAAGGGGAUGUCUGCAAGCCAGGACGAGUGCGUCUACCAGAAACUGAGUUCUGCUGGACUUUGAUCUAGGACAUCCAGCCUCCAGAAUGGAAUGUGCCAUAUGUGGAGACCUGCAUGGAAAGGAACUGAGGAUGCUCUCUCACUAAAAGCUAGAAGGAACUGAGGCCCUCAGUCAACAGUCUACAAGACACUGAAUCUUGCCAGCAGCCAAGCAGUGAGCUUGAAAGCAGAUCUAUCAUCAGCUGAACCUUCAGAUGAGACCGCAGCCUAAGCAGAUACCUUGGUUGCAGCCAUGUGAGACAACCUGAAACAGAGGGCACAGCUAAGCCUCAGCCAGGUUCAUGACCCUCUGAGGAAACUGUGAGAAAGCAAAUGUCAUUUUAAGCUAUUUAAUUUUGGAGGUAGUUUAUUACACAACAAUAAAUAACUAUUAUAAUUAUCUUGAGGAUUUAUUUCCUGGGGAGAAUACAUGGAAUUGCAUAUAUAGGUCCUCAUAUGCAGAAUACUGGUACCCUAGAGAUGUUCACCCCAGAGAUGUUUUAGGAACCUGUGAAUAUGUUACAUUAAAUGGCAAAGUUUUCCUGGAUGGUUUAAGUUUAAGAUGGAAAAGUUUUACUGGAUUAUCCAGUGGGUCCAAUCUAGUAACAUGAGUCCUUAAAAAUGGAGAAUAUUUUUUGGCCAUGAUCAGAGAGACAUGUGAUGAUGGAAAAAGUGUCAGAGAUGCAAUGUGAGGGGACUAAAACUGCUGUUGCUGACUUUAAAGAUGGAGAGAGGGGAACCCGAGUCAAGGAAUGCAAAUGGCCUCUGGAAGCUGGAAAAAGCAAGAAAUGGAUUCUCCUUUAGAGCCUGUGGAAUAAAAUGCAGUCAUGCUGACACCUUGAUUUUACCUCAGUGAGACCAAUACUGGAGUAUGACCUUCGGAGCUGAAUAAAAUUAUACGUACACAUCUUAAUUUCUUGGGAUUUGAUUACUUCUUCUGCUUUGAAAUUAGACCAAGUUUAGCCUGCCUUUGCUAUUUUGGCGUAUCUCCAAUUCUUCAUGAUUUUCUCAUCGCAAAGGCCACAUAAGGACAGUGAGAAGGCAGCCACCUGCAAGCCAGGAAGAAAGGUCUCACCAGAUACCAACCCUGCCAGCAUGUUGAUCUUGGACUUCCAGCCUCCAAAACUGGCCUUCUGCUCACAUGGGCUUCCGUGCACCUGCUUCAGGAGACAGCAACACUUGCGCCCGCACCGCGGCAGGCUCCCAUCACCUGGUGGAUAUGCCGCGCCGAGUCUCAUCACACCUUAGUGAAGGAACACAUGGACCCAUAUGUUAGCGGAUGUAUUUACAUCGUUUUAUACAGAAAGGGGAAGAAAACUGCAUACCUCAGAAAGGGGUUGCUCCUCACUCUGAGUACUAGACUAAAGAUAAAAAGACUAGAUAAAAGUACUAGACUAAAGACAGAGCUGACCCAUGACAGGUGUAUAUCUAGAAGUGUAAUUGCUGGAUCAUAUGGUUACUAUAUGUUUAACAUUUUGGGGAACUGCCAAACUAUUUUCCAAAGUGGCACAAAGGAGAAUAUAGGAAAAAAUGUAGUUGAAAGGUAAAUUGAUUUUAUUAAUGUUGAAUUUGGAGUGUUUACAAGACAUAAAGAAGGGUAUUUUCAGAAGAUUGAUAGCUAUAUGGGUCUUAUGCUUAGGGGAAUAGUAUGAGUUUGAGAAACAGGUCUUGGCAUCGUCAACAUGUACAAUUAAAGAUGUGAGAAACCAACAGCUCACCCAAAGAAAGUAGACAUUACCACAAGGAAGACUUACAUAUCUAAGGUCAAUUCAGAUAGCAUGCAUACACUGUGUGAUGGAGGGCAGGAAAGGUGGAGAUUAAUUAGGACUUGGCAGGCAAUUGAUCAGAAUUUUUUUUCCCAUAGCAAGAAGAUUUGCUUCGUGGGAGGAUUUCACUGGGCAGAGCUGGACAUACAGAGAGCAGAGAAGGACAUUCCCACAUAGAAUCUUAAAUCUUGAAUGCUAGGGAAGAGCCUACUAAGCGGAAAAGUGUGGGAAAGGCUUCCAAACAUGGGAAAUGGCAUAUAUAAAGGCAUAGUUGUUCAAAAUGUCUUCAUUUGAACUUCAGGAUAAUUAAACAAUUAGCAUCCAUUUGUUUGUCAGUCUGUGCCAGCAUUUUAUUAGGUGCUGCACACAAAUUAUCUCAUUUAAACCUUACAACAAUCUUCAUUCUAGAGAUGAGGAAACAGACACAAAGAUGUUAUAUUAACUAGCUAUCAAAGAUGACAUAGCUGGAAAAUGGUAAAGUCUUGGUAAAACCCAGGGAGUUUGAGACUAGAGCCUGCACCUGACAUGUGAAGCAACUCAUCGAAAUAAUUUUAAGUAUUAAAGACCAUUAGUCAGCACCAGUGGUGUGCUCCUGGUAGCUGAUAAGGCGCUCCCAAUCUUGGUACCACUUGAUGAUCUAGUGGCUUACUUGAUAUGUUUUUCAUUGUUCUUUUUCUUUUCUUUUCUUUUCUUUUCUUAGAUGGAGUCUUGCUCUGUCACACAUGCUAGAGUCCAGUGGUAUGACCUCAGCUCACUGCAAUCUCUGCCUCCCGGGUUCAAAUGAUUCUUCUGCCUUGACCUCCCUGGCAGCUGGGACUACAGGCCUGCACCACCACGCCUGGCAAAUUUUUUAAUUUUUUUUAGUAGAGAUGGGGUUUCACCAUGUUGGCCAGGCUAGUCUCGAACUCCUGACCUCAAAUGAUCUGCCCGCUUUGGCCUUCCAAAGUUCUGGGAUUAUAGGAGUGAGCCACCAUGCCCAGCCUGUUCUUAAGUCUCCUAGAACAGGGAUUCUGAAACACAAAACUCAUCUGGCAAAGAGUUCUAAGAUGCAUUUCACAGCACUCCACAGAAGGAAGGUUCAGAGCCAAUCAUCUGCACCAGUGCCCAACUUAAAAACAUCCUUGUAUCAGUUUUCCCUUAUUUCCUGUUCUCCUCCCUAAACCUUCAGUCCUGUUCCUGGCAAUCACUUCCAGAAUAAACCAUAUACAUGCCUCAGAUUCUGAUCUCAGAGGAUCCCAGACUAAUACAGAGAUACACUAUGCUGAUUGCUUAACCCGCAUUUUCUCAUUUAAUUGAAACAUAUACGUGGUAAGGUAUUUAUUCAUACCUGCAUGAUUUUGUAGAUAAACCUUAGAGAAAUUAAUACUUUUCAGAAGGCAAUUAAAGUAACACAGCAAGCAAUUGAUAAAACCUGGAUUCGCCAAGUUAAACUGGUCUGGUUUCAAAACCUGUAUUGUUUCCUAACAUACCACCUAAAUUCUCAAAUGGUAUUGGAAGGGGUUAAAUGAGAUUAUAAAUGUAAAAUUCUUGGUAUAGUUAAUUCUCAAAAAUAGGCCUUCAAUCUAUAGAAUCCAUUUGUAGAACUAUCUUCAGGAAGGAAAAAUACAUCACCCUCCACCCCACCCUCAAAGAAACAUGGAAAAUUUAAACUAAGACUUCAAAUCUUGAGCUCUGCACAUCUUAGAAUAUUUUGUUUCUAUGAAAAAGAAGCUUUGGAGAAUGUGUAUCAGUCUGAAACACUGUAGUGUGAGCACAGAAAUCAGCCCAUCACAUUAUGCCCCAAAUGCUGAAGUACGGCUGAAUCUGAUUGCCCUGCAUUUUUAAGUACUGCAAAAUUCUGGGACUUGGGAUCAUCUGUUACUACAGACUUGUCAUAUUCCACUGAAAUAAAACAUAUAGUCUAAUUUGCAAAGUUCUCGUGUGGAAAGAGUCCUAAAAUGUAUAUAACCUCUGUCCCAGCAAUUCCAUUAGGAAUUUAUCCAAUCCAAAAUCUAAAAUGCAGAAGAUCUACAUAUUGAAUGCUUAUGGCAGCAUUCUUUAAAAUUAUGAAAAUUGAAAGCAACCAAAAUCCUCAAAAACAGACUAAUGGCUAAGUAGUAUAACCAUACUAUGAAAUGUGGUAAUUGAAUAUUCAAAUUUGUGUUGUAUAAAAAAUUAAUAAUGGUAUAACAUUUGGCUAUAAAAUAGAAUGAAUUCAAUUGUAUUUUUUAAACCAGUACAUCUGCAUAUUUGUGAACCUAAAAGAUAAGACGGUAAAUAUUUAACUGUAUUUUUCUUUAAUUGUUGGGGCUGUGAAUUAUUUUAAUUUUCUUAAUGCUUUUUAAUCUUCUCUGAAAAUUUUAUAAUAAUCUCUAAUAAUAAUUUAUAGCAAAAAAACCCAAAAUUUUAAAGGGUAUUCUUUUUGUAUUUUUAUCAAGAAUAAAAAUAUAUAUCAAU
rnacentral:lncRNA from 10 species